rnacentral:rRNA from 1 species
UGGAUCAGAACGAACGCUGGCGGCGUGCUUAACACAUGCAAGUCGGAUGCGAACGGCGCUUUCGGGCGUUGAGUAGCAUGGCAGACGGGUGAGGAGCGCGUAUCUGACUGGACUCAGGCUGGGGGAUAGUCCCUCGAAAGGGGGUUGAAUACCGCAUGUGCUCGGUGCUGUGAGGGCAUCGAGGAAAGUUGGCCUCUGCGGGCACGCUGAUGGCCUGAGACAGGGAUGCGUCCUAUUAGCUAGCUGGUGGGGUAAGGGCCUACCAGGGCGACGAUGGGUAGCUGGUCUGAGAGGAUGAUCAGCCACACUGGGACUGCGACACGGCCCAGACUCCUACGGAAGGCAGCAGUGGGGAAUUUUGCGCAAUGGGCGCAAGCCUGACGCAGCAACGCCGCGUGCAUGACGACGCCUUUCGAGGUGUAAAGUGCUGUCGACCGGGACGAAGGGGCGAGGGUGAACAGCUUUCGCGCAUGACGGUACCGGUGGAGGAAGCCCCGGCUAACUCCGUGCCAGCAGCCGCGGUAAGACGGAGGGGGCGAGCGUUGUUCGGAAUUACUGGGCGUAAAGCGCGCGUAGGCGGUGCAGCAAGUGGUGCGUGAAGGCCCUCGGCUUAACCGGGGACGGGCGUGCCAAACUGUUGGACUGGAGUGCCGGAGGGGGAGGCGGAAUUCCUGGUGGAGCGGUGAAAUGCGUAGAGAUCAGGAAGAACGUCGGUGGCGAAGGCGGCCUCCUGGACGGACACUGACGCUGAGGUGCGACAGCGUGGGGAGCGAAC